UACGUAGGUGGCAAGCGUUGUCCGGAUUUAUUGGGUUAAAGGGUGCGUAGGCGGCCCUGUAAGUCAGUGCUGAAAUAUCCCGGCUUAACCGGGAGGGUGGCAUUGAUACUGCGGGGCUAAGAGUACAGAUGAGGUAGGCGGAAUUGACGGUGUAGCGGUGAAAUGCUUAGAUAUCGUCAAGAACACCUAUAGCGAAGGCAGCUUACUAGGCUGUAACUGACGCUGAGGCACGAAAAGUGUGGGGAGUC
rnacentral:rRNA from 1 species